GCGAGCGUAGUUCAAUGGUAAAAUAUCUCCUUGUCAAGGAGAAGAUACGGGUUCGAUUCCCACCGCUCGCC
rnacentral:tRNA from 1 species